AGUCACACAAGAUUGUCAUGCGAGCUGAAGGGGGCUGAAAUUAUUCCCUCUGAAGAAGAAGAAGAAGAAGAAAACAUACUGCAGCUCCCGAUUUGAAACAUCAUAUUUGAAAACAAGGUGGGGCCUUCAUCAUAUGCAACCUUCAUAUUUUAGGUAAGAAAUAAAAAUGCAAUUGCUAAAGAUUUCAUUUAAACAUUUUUAUUACACUUGCCAACUGUCCAAAAGAAUGCCUCAAAUAUUAAGAAUACACAAUUUUUGACAUCUUAAGUCUUCAUAUAUUUCCUUUUAUCUUCAUGGUACUUUGCACAAGGUCUUAGAUGGUGGCGUUCAAUAAAAAAUUAUUCUAUUAGUUAACUUAAUACAAUGCUCGGAAUCUGUGUACAGUAGUUGUUGACAACUUAAUUUAUUAUAAUCUCCUUCCUGUAUUUUCUUUCCUAAGAGGAUUUAAAGCAGCUCCCAAAGGAUAGGAGCUUAGGUCAGGUCAGAGGGAGAUAAAGGCAAGAAAACUAUUCAUAUCAGUUAAUAUAGUUUUUUGCUUUGUUUCAAAAUUUGACUACAACAAGCAUAGAGAGGCAAGGAUUUCCCUUUUUCUCUCUUCUACUUCUUUUCCACUACCCUGGCACUACCUUCCAAAAGAAAUUUCACAUUGGAGAUCCUGUGUCCAUUCAUUUAGUCAUUCAUGUAUUCAUUUAACUAAUAUUUAUUGAAUGUCCAUGUACCAGUCAGAGAAGUAGGUGCUUGAGAUACAAGACAGAGAUGAGGAUUGUUCCUUCCAACACAGCAUUCACAGUGAGGAUCUAAGAGUAAGUGAGUAAUUUCAAUAAAGCAUACUAAGGGCUAUGUUGGGAGAAAUACAUAAUCCUAUGGGAGGAGGCAGGGUGAAAUCUAACCAAGACACAGAUGCAUGGAAGGUUUCUUAAAGAAAAUGUUCAACUUAAUAUCCAAAUUGAAAAAAAAAUAUUUUAUAACAAUUCUCCUUGCCCAAGGCCCUCAUAGACAUGCCAUUCACUCUGCAGAAUAUUCUCCCCAUUAUGACUUGUGCCCACACCAUUAUUUGACCAAUUUAUUUGGCUAACUCCUAUGCAACUUUCAGGACAGAGUCCGUAUCUGUCUAUUCACUGCCACAUUUCCACACUAGCAAGUGCCAACUCUAACAUAGGAGCUCGACAGCAUUUUGAAAGGUAAUCACACUAUAUUCUAAUUAUUAAUAGUUGGUUUACAUGACUAGAGCCUUCUCAAGGGCAGUGAUGGUUUCAUUUCUUCACUCUCAACAGGGCCUGCCUCUUUCUAUUCCUUGACAUAAACCGGACUCUUCAUGCUAAUCAGGCUGGAAGUGUAUC